GAUGAACGCUGGCGGCGUGCCUAAUACAUGCAAGUCGAGCGAACGGACGCGAAGCUUGCUUCUCUGAUGUUAGCGGCGGACGGGUGAGUAACACGUGGAUAACCUACCUAUAAGACUGGGAUAACUUCGGGAAACCGGCGCUAAUACCGGAUAAUAUUUUGAACCGCAUGGUUCAAAAGUGAAAGACGGUCUUGCUGUCACUUAUAGAUGGAUCCGCGCUGCAUUAGCUAGUUGGUAAGGUAACGGCUUACCAAGGCAACGAUGCAUAGCCGACCUGAGAGGGGGGUCGGCCACACGGGAACGGAGACACGGUCCAGACUACUACGGGAGGCAGCAGUAGGGAAUCUGCCGCAAUGGGCGAAAGCCUGACGGAGCAACGCCGCGUGAGUGAUGAAGGUCUUCGGAGCGUAAAACUCUGUUAUGAGGGAAGAACAUAUGUGUAAGUAACUGUGCACAUCGUGACGGUACCUAAUCAGAAAGCCACGGCUAACUACGUG
rnacentral:rRNA from 1 species